AUGGAGAGGCUAAGACUUCUUUUAGUUUCACCUUUCAAAUUCCUAAUUUCUAAAGGAGAACAUCUGGCCCCUCAAAGGAACAGACAAGGAACAGACAGCUGGUGUCAACCCCAAAGGCAGGUGGCAAGAGUGAAAAUCUCAGGUCUGAUCCAUGCUAAUCGUCUGCCCAGAAAUCUUAAUUUUUCCUUCUGGACCCAGCUUGCCACCCCCCUCCCCGGGCUGAAGUGUCCCCCUGUGCACACGCCUGGGCCAAGCAUCUGUGUCUUAGGAUGGCCUACCACAUGCAGGCCCUGGGCCCUGCAGACUGAUUGCUUUUCCAUGGUGAUGACCACGAAGGACCCUGCCUCCCUGAGAGCACCGGCGGGAGGGCUGAGUAGCAGGAGCCCACCAGGCCACAUCUCAGCAGGGCAGAGGGCUCCACUGUCCCCCCCUAAGGGCACGUCUGGAGCACCUCCCAGCCCCUGGGGUGCUCCUGCCCCCUCACCUCCGCUCACCCCUGCUCCCCAUGCUGGAGGGCUUUUCCUUUCCCUCUUUUCUCUACUGGGAGCAUGUCUUUUCCUGCGGAUUGAAAGACCUGGUUUUUCUGAUCAUUCCCGAGUUUCAGGACCUAGACCAAUAGCCUUUCUUCUGAGUUUCAGUCUUUCAUGUCCAGCAGCCUGCUUGGUCCUCGUCCUUUCCACAUUGCCAGCACACCAUGUCUGCAACAGAAACCUGGAGAUUCCCACACCACCCUACAGGGAGGCAGUGGGUCUCGGGCCCCUGCAGAGAUGGAGGACUGAUCCUUGCUGUGUCACUUCCCUGGCCGGCCCCGCAGCAGGUUCUGCCUACCGUGUCCCCAAACCCCAUCUGCCUGCUCCAUCCUGGCCCCACACAGUAGCUAGGCUUCACUCCGGAGCUGUUAGCACUCCCUCCCCUCCCACUUUGUCGUCCAGAACCUCACUGGGCAGCAUGGACCCAGGCAUUGCGGGGCGGUUCCACCUCAGAAAUCCCAAAGGCUGCUGA
rnacentral:lncRNA from 1 species